rnacentral:misc_RNA from 1 species
GAAAUGCGAUACGUAAUGUGAAUUGCAGAUUUCAGUGAAUCAUCGAAUCUUUGAACGCACAUUGCGCCCCUUGGUAUUCCAUGGGGCAUGCCUGUUCGAGCGUCAUUUGUACCCUCAAGCUCUGCUUGGUGUUGGGUGAUUGUCUAUCUUUUUAGACUCGCCUCAAAGUCAUUGGCAGCCGGCAUAUUGGCCUGGGAGCGCAGCACAAGUCGCGCUUCUUGUCAUGAAUGUUGGCGUCCAUUACGUCUACAAAUUUUGCUCUUGACCUCGGAUCAGGUAGGGAUACCCGCUGAACUUAA